UCUUUUGUUGUUUAAAUAUCAUUGUUUAUGAUUAACUGUUCAUCAGAUAUUGUGGACCCCUAUAAUGAAGGAAGAGAAGCAGAAGGUUCAAGUCCUUCCCAAAAAAUAAAAGAAAUACUAGAAAAAUACCGUGGCCUAUUUACACUGCAGUGGGAAGGCGUCGUUGGAAAUAUGUGUGUUCCAAGGUAUGUAAUAUUCUGUCUUCUUUCUUGUUUUAUCCAUGUUUCUUGUUUAAAAUUGUGCCUAUUGUCAGAGACUUUGGUCAUAUAAUAGGGUCACAUUUUGCUGAGCUGAUAAACACAUAGCAAACCAUUGUUGUUGUAUGAAACACAGAUCUAUGUUUGUAGACAGAAUAAUCGAGGGAUCUGAAAUAAAGUGCCACAACGUGAUUUAGCCAGGUUGGUUUUGUCAGAGUUGCUGUGUAUGUAAAUAAUCUAAUUUUGAUAGAAAGUCUUCUGGUGCGGUCUUUGAUGAAUACACAUAUGUGAGCAUAAGUGUAAUUUCUGGCUUUGCUCAUAUUUGUUUUUAAAUUCAAGUGUUAAAAACAUAGCAUCUUCAGGCACCUUCAGUCAACCAUAAAUGGGAGCACAGAUUUCAGAGGCAGACUAGUGAAGGUACAUCACACAGUUUCCAAUUUCAAACAUGAUCAUGAAGCUAAUACCAUUUUAUGGAGUCUACUCAUAAACACGCUUUGUUUUUUAUAGAAAUACUUUACUUUUAAGAUCAUAGCCAUAGAGGAAUAAAAGGGAUUUCAAGAGGUCAGACAGUGACAAGCCCUAGGAGUCGACAUGACCAUUGCUCGACAUUCCUUCCUAACUGCUAGUUUAGCAAUCAGUCCUUUGGAAUUUUCUCUACUUAGCUAAUACCACUGAGUAGGUACUCUAAUAUUUUUUCAUAACAAUUGCAAAAAUUGUUAUUAUCAAAUUGCAGUUUUUGCUGCCAGAUAGUCUGAUUAUCCACAUCUCUUUUCAAAAACCAAUUGCUCAUGUCCUGGUGGGUAUAUACACAACUGCUCCCUUUGAAUGUUAGAGAAAGACCUUAUUUUAAAGCUGUACAAUACAUACAGCAAUGAUUUUUUUUUUUGUUGUUUUUUUGAUGGAGAGGUUGGUAUUUAUCUAAAAAUACGCUAUGCCUCUAUUUAUCUGAAAUACACUAUUGCUCGCUAUCAGAUGUUACUCAGUAAUCAUUUUAAUACAAGAGUACAGUAUUAAUAAUCCAUAUGAGGUAUUACACUUUUCACAGAAUUCUGCAGUCGUGUUUGUCUCCUUGCUUUGCAUGCUGACUUUAUUACAAUCAUUUCUGGAGUAAAUAGCACUGAAGUGUUUGCUAUGGAUAAUUUCUGAAAAGUAUUCUUGUAAAACAGUAACAUGAAAGUAACUUCCUUUCUUUCUUCUUCCUUCCUUUCAGCCAAGCUGAAUGGGAGCAGCUGCUGACAAACUGUA
rnacentral:lncRNA from 13 species